ensembl:lncRNA
CAGGAACUGAAAUUAAGACAUGCUCAAAAGAAGGUAUAGAGUUCAUUGUGAUGUCAUAACCCAGGCACUUCCCAAAGUGAAACCGCAACCUAACAAUGAUGUCGGAGAAUGUAAAUAAAGCAGAGAAAAUAAGAGCAUGAACUUUAAUAGUAUUGGCUCAACCUCAAGGACAAAUACAUCUCUAGUUUCUGGCCCUGGGGAAAAAAUGUGGGUAAUUUCAAGUCAUUUGGUACUUCAUCGAAUGAUGACUGGAGCUCUCUUCUCUCUUGAAGUAGCACGUAAUUUCCACGCCAAACGGGCACCAGAGACCUCAUCAAACUGUCCACUGCUGAACCGAGACCGCAAACCUCUGUGGAUUCUAAACUGCCACAUUAGUUUUUCAAAAAUAAAUAAAACCCUUUCCAG